ACGACGCUGGCGGCGUGCCUAACACAUGCAAGUCGAGCGGGGACAUUCGACGGACCGGAAGUUUCGAAUGGAAGGGAAGAUGAAUGUCUAGCGGCGGACGGGUGAGUAACGCGUGAGCAACCUGUCCUUCACAGGGGAUAACACAGCGAAAGUUGUACUAAUACCGUAUAAGACCACGGCGGGGCAUCCCGAAGGGGUCAAAGGAGCAAUCCGGUGAAGGGUGGGCUCGCGUCCGAUUAGAUAGUUGGUGAGGUAACGGCCCACCAAGUCGACGAUCGGUAGCCGACCUGAGAGGGUGAUCGGCCACAUUGGGACUGAGACACGGCCCAAACUCCUACGGGAGGCAGCAGUGGGGAAUAUUGGGCAAUGGGGGGAAACCCUGACCCAGCAACGCCGCGUGAGGGAAGAAGGUUUUCGGAUCGUAAACCUCUGUCCUUGGUGAAGAGGAAGAGACGGUAGCCAAGGAGGAAGCCCCGGCUAACUACGUGCCAGCAGCGGC
rnacentral:rRNA from 1 species